GAUGAACGCUGGCGGCGUGCUUAACACAUGCAAGUCGAACGAGAAGUGGAGACGGAAACCUUCGGGCGGAAGACUUUACUUCGAGUGGCGGACGGGUGAGUAACGCGUGGGUAACCUGCCUCAUACAGGGGGAUAACAGUUGGAAACGACUGUUAAUACCGCAUAAGACCACAGCACCGCAUGGUGCGGGGGUAAAAACUCCGGUGGUAUGAGAUGGACCCGCGUUCGAUUAGCCAGUUGGCGGGGUAACGGCCCACCAAAGCGACGAUCGAUAGCCGAUCUGAGAGGAUGACCGGCAACAGUGGGACUGAGACACGGCCCAAAAUCCUACGGGAGGCAGCAGUGGGGAAUAUUGCAAAAUGGGGGAAACCCUGAUGCAGCGACGCCGCGUGAGUGAAGAAGUAUGUCGGUAUGUAAAGCUCUAUCAGCAGGGAAGAAAGUGACAGUACCUGAGUAAGAAGCCCCGGCUAACUACGUG
rnacentral:rRNA from 1 species